UGGUUAUUGAAAUUUUGUGCUAACUUGUCACGUUUUAAGUAAAACGCACUUAUUCAAUCCCUUUUCUGUUAUCAAUUAUCAAGGUGAUAGAGUAAAAUUUUAAACACUACCCUUAUAUUUCAAAUUGUUUUGGAAGGAAAUCAGAAAAAUUAUGGAAAAAAAGAGAAAGAACCCAAAAAGUUGAGGUAAAGAUGAGGGAACAUUACUGGUUGCGCAACCAAUACCCCAUGCUACCAUUCCUACAACUUGCCACUGAUCAUUGCCAGAUUGACAUACCAAUGGUGAACCACCAUCACCCUAGAAGAAACACACGUUUCUCCUCCUGCACAUAAGAAGCUAUUUUGGUUAAGAUCAAAAGAUUGUCCAAGCCUAGUUCUUUUAAGAUCAGCUUCACAAGUUGUUUGAC